CCUCCAGAAGCCAAAAAACCUAAAAUAAAGGUGGUAAACGUUGAGCUGCCUGUUGAAGCCAACUUGGUGUGGCAGCUAGGGAGGGACCUUCUGAACAUGUACAUCGAGACGGAGGGCAAGAUGAUCAUGCAGGACAAGCUGGAGAAGGAGAGGAACGAUGCUAAGAACGCCGUGGAGGAGUGUGUGUAUGAGUUCAGAGACAAGCUGUGUGGACCGUAUGAGAAAUUUAUAUGUGAGCAGGAACACGAGAAGUUUCUGAGGCUUCUCACAGAGACAGAAGACUGGCUGUAUGAGGAAGGAGAGGACCAAGCCAAGCAGGCCUAUAUUGACAAGUUGGAAGAAUUGAUGUCAGAUUUCAAGAAGCCGAGGAG
rnacentral:lncRNA from 1 species